AUGGCGGUAGCAACUACCUGGAGCAGCGUCUUCCCCGUCGCCGACGCGCGGUCGGCUCAUGAAGUCGCCGCGGGCUGCAUACCGCGCGAGCGGGAUGCCCUGCUGGCCUUCAAGCAGGGCAUCAACGACACCGAGGACGACCUCGUGUCGUGGCAGGAAGGGAACCAAGAUUGCUGCCGAUGGGAAGGCAUCACCUGCGACAACGCGACCGGCCAUGUCGUCGAGCUUGACCUGGGCUUCUGGACUUCUUUCUUGGCCGACCAGAUAAGUCCUUCCUUACUUUCUCUUGAGCACCUGGAGAGCCUCAACCUCCAGUACGCCAACAAUAUGGUUGGAAAGCUGAUAAAUAGUAUGGGACAAUUAAACAACUUAACUAUGCUUGACCUUUCUCACAAUAACAUUACAGGAACUAUACCAUUAGGCAUUGAUAAGUGCUCUUAUUUAUGGCACUAUGACCUUUCUUACAACCAUCUUACUGGAGCUAUACCCUCAUGGUUGGGGAAUUGCACUAGAUUGUGGUAUCUUUCUCUUUCCAACAACCUGCUCACUGGACAUAUACCGCAUGGUUUUGAGAGUUGUGCCGCGUUACUUACACUUGACAUUUCGGAGAACCAUCUUAGUGGAGCAAUACCACCGGGAUUGGGAAAUUGCACUAGUUUGGGACAACUUUAUCUUUCUAGUAACCAUCUUACUGGACAUGUGCCAUCCAAGAUCGGUAUGCUUGGUCAUUUGUCUGAUCUCGACCUUAGCAACAAUAAUCUUGAUGGCAUGAUCACAGAAGAACACCUGCUUGGUCUGAAGAACUUAGAGCACAUGGAUUCAUCACACAAUUCUUUCUCGGGACCUUUACCAUUACAUUUUGGAUCUCGAUGGUUAGCAGAAUUGUCUUUAUCCUACAGUUACUUCAGUGGCCCUAUUUCUAAAUAUAUUUGUCAGUUAGAGUUCCUACUGGUCUUGGAAUUGUCAUACAACUUUCUAGAGGGAGAACUUCCUCAUUGUUCUCGUAAAUCUAGCUUGGUUUACCUCCUCUUGAGUAAUAACAACUUUUCCGGCAAGUUUCCAUCAUCAGUCCGAAACUACUCAAGAUUGGCUUUCCUAGAUCUCUCAAGGAAUAACUUCUAUGGAACAUUGCCGUCAUGGAUUGGAGAGUUGGUAAAUUUGAAAUAUCUGCAACUAAGCCACAACUUGUUACAUGGAGAUAUUCCACCGAAUGUCACAAAUCUAUAUUGCCUUCGUCAUUUGAAUUUAGCCAGAAAUAGUAUAUCUGGAGUUAUACCGAGCUCUUUGUCAAAAUUAACUGCAAUGACCCAAGCAAACUCAACGAAACAUGGGUCCGACAAGUCUUGCACGUCCAACAACUAUGGAACUAUGAAGAAAGAAAUUUGGCUUGUUGUAAUGAAGCGCCAAGAACUUAAGUAUGGUACUGGAUUUUUUGAUGUGCUGAGCAUUGACCUAUCACUCAACAAAUUAGUUGGUCGAAUUCCAGACGAGUUAACUUCUCUUAAUGGGCUGUUAAAUUUAAACUUAUCAUGGAAUCACUUGAGUGGACAAAUUCCUGCAGAGAUUGGGGCUAUGAAGUCAAUUGAGUCACUUGACCUCUCAAGGAACAACCUUUAUGAUGAGAUCCCGACAAGCUUGUCGAAUUUGACGUACUUAAGCUCAUUGGACUUAUCAUACAACAACCUUACUGGAAGAAUCCCCCUAGGCAAUCAACUUGACACAAUCUACUCGGAGAACCCGUCCAUAUACGCUGGUAACAUUGGCCUGUGUGGCCCUCCUCUCGAAAGGAAUUGCUCAGGAAACAAUGGCCUUGAGCAUAUGAAUCAACAAACAAGUGAGAAGGUCUACGAGCCACUGUUAUCCUUAUACUUUGGACUUGGGUCUGGGUUUGUGGCUGGCCUUUGGGUCGUGUUUUGCUCUCUACUAUUCAACAAAACAUGGAGAGUUUCCUAUUUUCGCCUCUUCGACAAGUUGUAUGACAAUGCAUAUGUGUUUGUGGUUGUUACUUGGGGCAUGAUAAAUGACAAGGAAACUACAAGUUGA
rnacentral:rRNA from 1 species